AUCUUCCGCAAUGGACGCAAGUCUGACGGAGCAACGCCGCUUGAGUGAUGAAUGUUUUCGUAUCGUAAAACUCUGUUGCUAGGGAAGAACAAGUACCGUUCGAAUAGGUCCGUACCUUGACGGUACCUAACCAGAUAGUCACUGCUAACUACGUGCCUGCAGCUGCGGUAAUAGGUAGGUGGCAAGCGUUAUCGGGAAUUAUUGGGCGUAAAGCGCGCGCAGGCGGUUUCUUAAGUCUGAUGUGAAAGCCCACGGCUCAACCGUGGAGGGUCAUUGGAAACUGGGGAACUUGAGUGCAGAAGAGGAGAGUGGAAUUCCAUGUGUAGCGGUGAAAUGCGUAGAGAUAUGGAGGAACACCAGUGGCGAUGGCGACUCUCUGGUCUGCAACUGACGCUGAGGCGCGAAAGCGUGGGGAGCAAACA
rnacentral:rRNA from 1 species